GCUGGAAUCGCUAGUAAUCGCGGAUCAGAAUGCCGCGGUGAAUACGUUCCCGGGUCUUGUACACACCGCCCGUCACACCAUGGGAGUCGGGAAUGCCCGAAGCCAGUGACCCAAGCGAGAGCAGGGAGCUGUCGAAGGCAGGCCGGAUAACUGGGUGAAGUCGUAACAAGGUAUC
rnacentral:rRNA from 1 species